rnacentral:pre_miRNA from 14 species
AUGGCCGGACCGCCGUGGUCUGGUGCUGUGUGGAAGACUAGUGAUUUUGUUGUCCUGGAAUAGCUCGGCAACAAGUCACAGCCAGCCUCACAGCGCCGACUCCGCUCGCCAAUGCCUGGU